GAUGAACGCUGGCGGCGUGCCUAAUACAUGCAAGUCGAGCGAACGGACGAGAAGCUUGCUUCUCUGAUGUUAGCGGCGGACGGGUGAGUAACACGUGGAUAACCUACCUAUAAGACUGGGAUAACUUCGGGAAACCGGAGCUAAUGCCGGAUAAUAUUUUGAACCGCAUGGUUCAAAAGUGAAAGACGGUCUUGCUGUCACUUAUAGAUGGAUCCGCGCUGCAUUAGCUAGUUGGUAAGGUAACGGCUUACCAAGGCAACGAUGCAUAGCCGACCUGAGAGGGUGAUCGGCCACACUGGAACUGAGACACGGUCCAGACUCCUACGGGAGGCAGCAGUGGGGAAUCUUCCGCAAUGGGCGAAAGCCUGACGGAGCAACGCCGCGUGAGUGAUGAAGGUCUUCGGAUCGUAAAACUCUGUUAUUAGGGAAGAACAUAUGUGUAAGUAACUGUGCACAUCUUGACGGUACCUAAUCAGAAAGCCACGGCUAACUACGUG
rnacentral:rRNA from 1 species